UAUCUCAUUUCUGAAGGCUUCCCAUUUUCCAGCCUGAUGUCUCCCCUUUUUUUUGCUUUGCAGACUUCCAAAAUCUGUGUACCGCAAAGACGUCCUAAACCGAAAGCUGGGAAUAGCUUCAUCACGCCAAUCGAUCGGCAUGCAAUCUCCAGCAGCGUGGAACCUCCAACCUAAGAUUAGAGGGAAUGGUCUUAACAGCUCACCGCUACCUGGCAAGAACAGCUCACCGCUACAGAGCAAGCUAGUGUCAUACUGCUACAAAUGCACAUGAAGGGACCAGAUAUCUAAAACUCUGACCUCAUUUCCACUAGCCACCAAGGGAAUGGCAGCUCACAACUCAACUUGCACACCAACCAAUGUCAGUCCUGCCAUUUUCCUGCCUAGCUCAGUCAUGUAUGCAACUUAGUUUAUCAAUUUCUGUAUUUUGAAGCUUGAGUGACCCACAUCUGAUUAGCAUGUGUUUUGAACCAUAUGUGAAAACAUCUGGAAUCGAUACAUAUUGAUUGGGCCCAUGAAGAGUUGACAAGUAGAACCUAGCCGAACAGCCAUGUACAGAACUGGGCUGACUUCCUCAUCAAUGAGGCUGAAUUUCAAAGGGUGAUAGAUCCUCACUUCCCCGAGCAAGUAAGUGAGAGAACGAGUGUGUCCCUGCUCCAAAGGCUGGCCCGAGAGGCAUUUGAUGCUCAGAGAGAUGUUAAUUGCUUCAAGAAGACACCUCCACUCACAGCUGGGCAUCCCCGCUCUAAGAGUUUCCAGUCAGUCAAAUGGUCAGCAGCUUUCCCUUCCC